UCCGGGCCAGGUUCUACAGCCGCUCGGCCCAGCCACCCGGGACUAUCAGCACAGGCACUGACCUCGAGUUCCUCCACACCCACUACCAGCACCAUAACUGCCCGAACACUGACUCUUCCGAGUGGGCUUUAUGCACCAUACCCGAGAGGAAAGGGAUUGGCCUCAGGAAGAACACGGAACACCUUCCAUUGCUGGUUUAUGGCCACUUUCUAGCCUUUGAUUGGUUGGCGCAGACGUCAAUUUGGGACUGGUCUGACUCGGAAGCAACGUUGACAAUUUUUUUUCGUGUGAUCGGUUCAUGAGGGGAGCUCACCGAAUUUUUAUCACAUUUGCAGUGAGAGGUAAUGGAUUAUUGUGUUUUAGGAUGGCGAGAGGGUACAGUGGUAAAAUGUGCAAACAAGCUUGAGCAAAUAAUUUAGGAUCAGUUUCAUUAUACAUUUCUAAUUCGAACUGCUGCACUCUUGCCAACCUAAAAAAGGGGAGAAAGGACUUGCAUAUAUUCUGUGCAACACUGAAAAUGGGAAGGAAAGAUGCUGCUGCUUCUAAAAUCCCAAUUGAUCACUACCGGAAACAGAUAGGAAAACAAGAUUAUAAGAAAACCAAAUCAGUUUUAAGAGCAACAAGAUUGAAAGCAGAAGCCAAGAAAACAGCACCAGGAAUAAGGAACCCCUCUACAACCACACUCGCCAGGAAGCUGAUGGACAAACAUCCUUUCCUUUCUUCCCUAACUGUAGCUCACUCAUGCCUGGAGACUCACCACAUUGCAAAUCCUGACUCUAUACUAACCUCUGAAGACCAUGCAGUGGCAAUAACUGAGCUGGUGCCUAUCGAUGUCAAGUGAUGCUGCUUCUCUAACAGCAGUCUGUGCAGUCCUGUUCCUUUACUCUGAGGGUCCUGCGAGUGCAGUACCUGACAGUUCUUGAAUAUUUGAAAGCAAAAUGUCAGAAGGGAAGGGUUGGGGUAUGAAGCAAAGAGCCAGAGUCACAUACUUCUGCAGCUUGUACUUCAUGUGAGAUAGCUGAAUGAGGUUGGAAGUGAGAGUUGAAAAGGGACAAAAAGCAAUAAUAUAGCAUCAUUCUGAAUAUCAAAUGCGACUAGCUCAGCUGCAGCCAGCCUCAUAGUAAAGAAACAUCAUCCACUUUUUAGAGCUCAGGGAUGAAGGUAUGCCUGCUUCCUGUUGGUUCUUUGUUGCAAUCUUGUAUUUUGUGUCACUAUGAUCUGCAGGACAGAAGACAGUGUGUGCCAGCAGUGUAUUUGAGUGACAUGCCUACCGUAGCUGAAUAGCAGGAAAAAUUUGGAGGCAACACAGGGUGGGUUAGAAUCUGUCAUUACUGGAAGAGUUGAGAGAGGAAAGUGGACUAGCCAAAUAUUAAAGCUGAUUCCCAAGUGCAGGGCAGUGCAGAUGGGUUAAGUGGUGCAUGAAAUGUCUUUGAAGGUGCAUUUGUUGACCUUGACUUCCCUCAUGAAGUAAUUAAACUUCUUUCAAAACUACAGUCAGAUCCUUGGGGCCAAACUUCACGGGUUGACCUCUGUGGCCACCUGUUCCAUUCCUUCAGAGGGUAGUCCUCACUCGUAGAAGCAAGGUGUCUGUUAUCCUGUUCACUUCCAUGACUGUUCACUGCCACGACUAAGACAUCCAGCGUCAUAUUAAUGAACUGCAGCUGUCUCUCUGCCCUUGUUCUCCAUUCUCAUUUGCUCCAGUUACAGUUAGUUGCAGCUCUUUCAUCCAUUGUAGUUUCCUGUGAAGAGGCACAGAGUUCCUUUAAAAGCUAGAGGCUAGCUGGAGUAUGUGCUUGCCUCAUAUGUUCAUAGGUCUCCUCGUAUGUAUUAAUAGCCAGCAGCAAGGUAGCACUGAACUGCAUGUAAAGAUCAUAGAGAUAAGGUAGCAGAAGAAAGUAUGUGUGCUGCUUGCUUGAACAGGAGCAAGCUGGGACAGAUUUCAAAUUGUGACCCUUGCCUGAAAUCAGGCCCUGGUGAACUUCUAGCCCAUUGCUUUUUGGUUGGGAGCUUACCACAACAUCUGGAGUUCCAGAAGAACUAUUUCUGCUCUGGUGUUAGCAGGGGAGGACAUUUUAUUUGGCUCAUGCCCAGAGUCAUUUUCUCUUACUGUCUCUGUUGCUGACAUUUCUCACUUCACUCCCAUCCCUACAACUGCAGUAAUUUGCUGAAGUGUUUCACAUUUAUUAAUGUGUUUGAUGAAAUUCUGUAGUGUUGAGGUUUCAGAAUUCUAGAAAUCUGUUCUUCAGGGAUGGAAAUUCAAGCGUUUGGGAAAUAAGCUUGAUAAAGAGCAUUGUUAGGCUGCCAGUCAGCAUCAGUGUGUUGAAAUUCCUGGACUACUGGUGGAAAAGCAACUAUCGAAGGAUCCAGUAUCACUAGAGAUACAGAGCAAUUACAAAACAACAAUAGACUUUCAAAGUCAAGUCAAGUUCAAACUGGUGCACAACAAACAGAAAAAAAGAAGAGAACUACAGAUUAAUCGUCGACCAUGGUUCUGAUUAUUCCUCUACAUCCAACCCAUAGAUGCCAGGAGGAGAGAUACCAUUGUGGUGUCUGAGAAAGAGAAUAAAUAGGACUUCAACAGAGGAGUGAAAGAAUUGGAAAGAUUGCCAGAACUAACAUCUAAGGAGAAGAGGAGAGACUGGCAAAUGCUUUCAAAGCAGGAAAUCAAUAAGGUCAUCUCUGGAAGAACAGAUGACAGAGCUGUAUGACACAAACCAUAUACAGUGAUCAGGAAUGCAAUCCCCAAACUGCUUUCUUCUCACUAAGAGAUAGAGAUGGCAGUGUUCCCAGUUUUAAAGGCACUGAAUACAUGCACAUUACCAUACAGUCUGUUUUACAUCAGCUGUACAGUAGCCCUUUCUAUUACAAGUGUUACAAUGAGCCAAACAUGCUUGCUCAAUAAUUAAUUUGUUGAACUGAGUUAGUAAGACAUUUAUUUCUAGGUCAAAGGAAGGUUGUAAGUUGGAAUCUGAUGGCAGAACACUCCAGCAAAGUGCGAAGGAUGCGCUAUACUAUCAGUAGUGUUUCAAAUGAAAGCUUAAGUUGAUACCAUAUUCGCCUUUUCAAGGAAAUUUAAAGGUUCCAUGUCAUUCCCAGAGCAAACAUCAGAUAUACGUGUUGUGUUUACCAACAUAACUGUUACUGAGAAGACUAAUAUAGAAUCCCUACAGCAAAGUGGAGAACAUGGGCAUGGAUCCCACUACCUCUUGCAUGCUAAGUAAGCACUCUACCAUUUGAGCUAAUUCCCCAACAGCACAAAUUGCAUGUAGCAUUUUGAUGUAAUAAAGAACGCGAUAUGUUUGUUUCUCUGUAUGUAUUGUAAUGUUUCUUGCGUGUCAUGUUUAUGUAAAAUUAAUGAAUGUUUUUAAGAAAACUUCUAUUAUACAUGGAGUAGCCUCUUUUCCUGAACAAACAGCUAAUGGCCUGUUGGGAAGUCCAAAGCAUUUUCAUUCCUGGCUUCACUUGAUUGUUGGAGAUGCCAAAUAGAUGCUCUGUUGCAGCUUGUUGAUUUUGGGAGAAAAGGAAAUUGAUUGCUUCCCAUGCUGAGUCAGCUAGCAGAUAAGAACAUAGUUAAGGGAACAGAGAAAACCUGGAAAGUAGUCCUCAAACAUACAUGGGUUCAAAGAUUAAAAUGAAAGAAUCCUGUGCCCAUCUUUAAAUCGCUUGCAAUAGCUCCUUUAAGGACUUCUAAUUUGGUCACUCAAUACUUGGUAGAAAUGGGGAGAGUUAUUUGACACACUUGUCCCCAAAAGCAAAAUAAUUAUCAGUGACAUCUUAAUAUUGGUAUUGGACCAAUUUUGAUGGAAGAGCAGACCCUCAAUUUUUAUUAUGGUUUAGUUAAGGAUCAGUGAGCUUUUAUUCAAACUCAAAGUAGUUUGGGAAUUAGAGCUCCAUGCUGAUCAGAUUCCAUGCGUUGAAGCAACCAGACAUAAAGUUUACAAUACCAAAUCAAAAAAGUAAAGAUAAAUGUGGGUCCCUUACAGUUUGAAGCCAGGGAAAUUAUAAUGGGGAGCAAAGAAAUGGCAGAAGAUUUGAAACACAAACUUUGGUUCUGUCUUCACAAAGAGGGCAGAAAUGUUAGGGAACCAAGGGUCUAGUGACCCAUUGUUCUAGAUUCUCCCAUAAGAAGAAACAUUCAUUCGCAUACGCCCUGUUAAGACCCCUCAGGAUCAUAAAUGUUUCAAUCAAUCACCUUUUCCUCUUUGAAACCUCACAAAUGCAAGUCCAGCCUGUACAACCUUUCCUCAUAAGACAACCCACCCACUCCAGGUGUUAGCUGCCUCGUAAACGUUCUCCUUACUGCUUCAAUGCAUUUAGAUCCUUCUGUAAAUAAGGAGAUCAAUAUUAGACAUGGUCCUCCAGCUUAGAGUUUUUGCUGAUUUCUUAGGAUCAUGCACGGCAGUCCAGAAGUGGAAGUCAGUUCUGCGAACUGCGCUAGAUCCUUGGAGCAACUGCAGCUCUGGAGCUCCGAAUGUGCACUCAAGCAUGACCUCUCUCAUUUUGUAUUCACUUCUCUUGCAGUAAAGUUGUAUUAGUUUUCCUCAUUGCUUGUUGUACCUGUCUACUAAUCUGUGUUUCAUGGACCAAGGAAACCCAGAUCCCUCUUCAUCUUAGAGCUCUCCUGUGUCUCAUCAUUUAAAUAAUAUACUCUUUUCCUCUUCCUCCUAUAGUGGACAACUUUAUAUUUUCCCACAUCAUAUUCUAUUUGCCAUAGUUUCAUGUUUUGGUAGAUAUUUGCCCACACUUAACUAAUUUGUCACUUCUCCCCUUUUCACCUCAUAAUCCAGCUCAGAAAUAAGACAAUGUUCACCAUCACAACAGUGUGGCAGAUACCAUAUUAAUCAGGUGCAAAAACAUGUGCAUGUGUUCACACAGAAGUUGCUAAGUCCUUCACCAUAAAACUAUUACCCUCUUUGUGAUACUGUUUCCUAUGUUCAGUUUAUAACACAAUUUCAUGCAAAUUACCAGUCAAGAUGUGUAUGUUACUGGAAAGACUAGCCUUUAAUGGCCAUCCCGAAUUUCUCUCAACAAGUGUUAGAGGAUGGUGGAUAUUGAUUUUGUGUUUUAUUAACUAAUCCAUGAACAUAACCACUACUAUUCUAUUCCUAUUGGAUUUUCCUUAAUUGCAUGGACACACAAGGUGUUUUUCUUCUGUUGCUGUAUUUUUUUAAAAACGCAGUUCAACAAAGGGAAAUUAUUUAUACUG